CAGUACUGAUUGACAGGGUUAGAUGUAAAGAUCAUAUGUUCAGCAACAUAACCUGGCCAUAUAUAAUGGAAGUAAACUCACCAAAGGUAAAAUUAAGAAUUAUUAAACUGGAGUGAUGAAAUACAGUUCAAAUAUCAAACGUAAAACGGAAAUAUCAAUUCAGAUGGAAAGGUCUAACUGAGUCGUUACAAAACUGGGAAAAGUAAUUUAAAAU